UGAAUGUUUUGUUUGACAAAACAUUGUUCUUUAUUAAUCAAUGAUUGGAUCAUGGUAAUCUAAUUGAUUGUCUCUAUAGUAGAGAUAAUAUGGUGGUGUUAACUGUUUAGAAUAAAAUGAUGCUUAAAACCCAAAAGGUUGCAAGGUAGUGACUAAUCUCAACUAAAUUGUGAUACCUCUAAAUCAUAAAUUACGAGUUGGUCAUAGAUGGGUGCUUUGGAUCGUUAGAUCCGGAUCCAAUACCUUCUUGUUAAAAUUGUAUAGAGGCGAAAUGUUCUAAUCUUUAUUCUUUUGGAAAGAAGAAAGAAUCACAAAGUUGUUGAGGUUAAUUCACUUAGAUGUUAGUGGCACUUGUCCACAACAUAAUACUACUCAUGUUGGAUGACAUUCACCGAAGAUCACUCUCGGUUGGACUAUAGUUUAUUUUGAAUAAACACAAGUCCGAAUACUUUGUAAAAUGUUUCAAAGAAUUCAAGAAAUGUAAGUUGAUGAGUAAGACAUCUAAAGUAUUUACCUCCUUAGAUUUGAUCCAAGGAAAAGUAACACUUUAGAUGAGUUUCCUUGAAAGAUAUCAAGGAAAAUAGUAUCAUAAGAUAAUAGAUUUCUCCAUAAGGAGAAGAACGAACUUGAAUAAGAUUUAGUUCAUUGGAUGUUAUCUAUUACCCAUAUAUAGGAUAUAUACUUCUAAAACAAUAUGAUUGUCAAUUAGAAGAUCUUCCAAAUUUUUAUGACUCCAUAAGAUGUAGUUGGAAAGAAAGACAAAUCUCAAGCAUGUUAAGAUUUGGGGUUGUGAGCUAAUAAGCAAUAUUUGUUUGAGAAUUAUCUUGUGGAUAUCCUUAAAUUAACAUUUGGAUAUCACUUCUAUAAACCAACUAACAAAUGUUGUUUUGUUGGGUAGUUCAUUGUAAUCCUACAAUGUGAUUUUCCUAAAAGCAAAUGAACAAGAGAUAGAACUCAAAGAAUGGGUCCUUUGAGAGACAAGAAAGUAAUCAACAAAUAUAAACAACCUAGUUCCUAUACCAAAAGCUCCAAGGUAGUCGAGAAUGAUUUAUAAACCGUCUCAGUUGAAUGGUUUGAACUUUAUGACUAUGUCAUAGAGUUGCACCUCUUAAUUCGAAAGAAAUAAGAAUGAAAAUCCUUAUGACUACAUUGAGUGUAUAUAUGAUAUAUACUCAAGAAAAUGGUAAAGUACCAUUUGACCCGAAAUAAUGAAACCUUCAUAAGCUAAUUGGUAGCUUAAGGUGACUACAAUCAAAGAGAAUGGUUGACUUUGAAGAAACCAUCUUUGAGAUAGUCUUGGUUUCAAUUAAUUCGAAGAUUGCUAGCUACAACUAAAUGGUGAUUCAAUGUUUUGACAUAAUAUGGGUUUCCAAAACCAUUAUUAAGAUAGUCUUGAUAAUAUAUGUCUAAAACUAUAAAUCACAAGACAUGUAAGUUGUAGAGAUCCAUCCAUCAUGAAUCUUAGCAAGCUAGUGGGAGCUAUAUGCAUCUUAUGAGAGAAAGUUCAAAUUGUUUGAUUUCUCAUAAAGAUGUAAAUGAAUCUUUUGUUUACUAGGUUUACAAAAGAUUAGUGGGAGUUAAUCAUAUUCCUAAAUUUAAACAUAUAUUUGAUAUAUUAAUUUUGGAAAUGAAAAGAAUACUUCUUCAUUAAAGUUAUGACUUUAAAACAUUAUAUGAAGAUAGAAUGUAUAUGGGAGUUAAUCAUGUUCCUAAAAUUUAAAUAUAUAUGAUAUAUUAAUUUUGGAAAUGAAAAGAAUUCUUCCUCGUUAAAGUUAUGACUUUAAAACAUUAUAUGAAGAUAGAAUGUAUAUGGGAGAUAUAGUCUAUAUACAUGGGAUGGAAAUCUAUAAUGAUAUAUUUCAUGAUAUAAUUGGAUUAUAUCAAUCCCUAAUAAUAGACAAUAGAUGCUAGAAAGUUUCUCAUAUGAUGAUAAACUUCAAUUAGAAGGAUAACUCUAGUGAGACUAAGAAGUUGCUCUUCUAAAAGAGAACGUACUCUUUGACUCCCAAAGAAAUAAUGCGUAAAUAGAAUCCUUUAUGCGUAUCAUAAAGGGGAUUUAUGUAUUUCAUAUUGUAUGAAAAACAUUGAUAUGAGUUGUACCUAGAACGGUACAAGACGAUAUCAGUGCAAGCCCAGGAUCAGAACCAUGGCAACUGUCAAGUGAGUCCUUAAGUAUUUAAAAAAUACUAAAGGAUAAAUUCCUCAAAGAUCGAGGAAGAAUUAGAGUAACGUAAUGGAAGCGUAAAUGUAUUAGAUUAUGAAUCUAACCAUCAUUGGAUGUUUCUUCAUUAUGAAUGAAGAGAUAAACGGAUAUCUCUUUAUUAUGACUAAAGAGAUAUUUGGAUGGAAACAUUAAAAGUAAUGACUUUAGUGUGUUCCAUUAUGAAUGCAAAAUAUAUUGCCAUAUAGAAGCUUACAACAAUGUUGUUUGGAUGGGAAAGUUCAUUUAUGAACUCUCUAUUCGGUUCCAACCAGAAAGUGUAUCUAGUGUACUGACAUUAUGACACUAAUGGGGCGAUAGCUCAAGCCAGGGAAUCAAGGUCUCAUCAAGAUCCGAACUCAAAUGAGAGA
rnacentral:lncRNA from 1 species